rnacentral:lncRNA from 1 species
GGCUCAACCAUAACAGUUCAUUGUGCUGAGGAGCAAGUAGGUCACAGUAGAUCCCUCAACAAUAUAUGUUCUAUAUAUAAUUGUUCACUUAUUCAAUCAGUUCAUUGUGCUGAGGAGCAAGUAGGUCACAGUAGAUCCCUCAACAAUAUAUGUUCUAUAUAUAAUUGUUCACUUAUUCAAUCAGUUUAUUGUGCUGAGGAGCAAGUGGGUCACAGUAGAUCCCUCAACAAUAUAUGUUCUAUAUAUAAUUGUUCACUUAUUCAAUCAGUUCAUUGUGCUGAGGAGCAAGUAGGUCACAGUAGAUCCCUCAACAAUAUAUGUUCUAUAUAUAAUUGUUCACUUAUUCAAUCAGUUCAUUGCGCUGAGGAGCAAGUGGGUCACAGUAGAUCCCUCAACAAUAUAUGUUCUAUAUAUAAUUGUUCACUUAUUCAAUCAGUUCAUUGCGCUGAGGAGCAAGUAGGUCACAGUAGAUCCCUCAACAAUAUAUGUUCUAUAUAUAAUUGUUCACUUAUUCAAUCAGUUCAUUGCGCUGAAGAGCAAGUAGGUCACAGUAGAUCCCUCAACAAUAUAUGUUCUAUAUAUAAUUGUUCACUUAUUCAAUCAGUUCAUUGCGCUGAAGAGCAAGUAGGUCACAGUAGAUCCCUCAACAAUAUAUGUUCUAUAUAUAAUUGUUCACUUAUUCAAUCAGUUCAUUUUGCUGAAGAGCAAGUAGGUCACAGUAGAUCCCUCAACAAUAUAUGUUCUAUAUAUAAUUGUUCACUUAUUCAAUCAGUUCAUUGUGCUGAAGAGCAAGUAGGUCACAGUAGAUCCCUCAACAAUAUAUGUUCUAUAUAUAAUUGUUCACUUAUUCAAUCAGUUCAUUGUGCUGAGGAGCAAGUAGGUCACAGUAGAUCCCUCAACAAUAUAUGUUCUAUAUAUAAUUGUUCACUUAUUCAAUCAGUUCAUUGUGCUGAAGAGCAAGUAGGUCACAGUAGAUCCCUCAACAAUAUAUGUUCUAUAUAUAAUUGUUCACUUAUUCAAUCAGUUCGUUGUGCUGAAGAGCAAGUAGGUCACAGUAGAUCCCUCAACAAUAUAUGUUCUAUAUAUAAUUGUUCACUUAUUCAAUCAGUUCAUUGCGCUGAAGAGCAAGUAGGUCACAGUAGAUCCCUCAACAAUAUAUGUUCUAUAUAUAAUUGUUCACUUAUUCAAUCAGUUCAUUGUGCUGAAGAGCAAGUAGGUCACAGUAGAUCC